rnacentral:rRNA from 1 species
GGGUUGUGAGGUUAAGCGACUAAGCGUACACGGUGGAUGCCCUGGCAGUCAGAGGCGAUGAAGGACGUGCUAAUCUGCGAAAAGCGUCGGUAAGGUGAUAUGAACCGUUAUAACCGGCGAUGUCCGAAUGGGGAAACCCAGUGCAAUUCGUUGCACUAUCGUUAACUGAAUACAUAGGUUAACGAGGCGAACCGGGGGAACUGAAACAUCUAAGUACCCCGAGGAAAAGAAAUCAACCGAGAUUCCCCCAGUAGCGGCGAGCGAACGGGGAGCAGCCCAGAGUCUGAAUCAGCUUGUGUGUUAGUGGAACGGUCUGGAAAGUCCGACGGUACAGGGUGAUAGUCCCGUACACCAAAAUGCACAGGUUGUGAACUCGAAGAGUAGGGCGGGACACGUGGUAUCCUGUCUGAAUAUGGGGGGACCAUCCUCCAAGGCUAAAUACUCCUGACUGACCGAUAGUGAACCAGUACCGUGAGGGAAAGGCGAAAAGAACCCCGGCGAGGGGAGUGAAAAAGAACCUGAAACCGUGUACGUACAAGCAGUGGGAGCACCUUCGGGUGUGACUGCGUACCUUUUGUAUAAUGGGUCAGCGACUUAUAUUCUGUAGCAAGGUUAACCGUAUAGGGGAGCCGCAGGGAAACCGAGUCUUAACUGGGCGUUAAGUUGCAGGGUAUAGACCCGAAACCCGGUGAUCUAGCCAUGGGCAGGUUGAAGGUUGGGUAACACUAACUGGAGGACCGAACCGACUAAUGUUGAAAAAUUAGCGGAUGACUUGUGGCUGGGGGUGAAAGGCCAAUCAAACCGGGAGAUAGCUGGUUCUCCCCGAAAGCUAUUUAGGUAGCGCCUCGUGAACUCAUCUUCGGGGGUAGAGCACUGUUUCGGCUAGGGGGUCAUCCCGACUUACCAACCCGAUGCAAACUACGAAUACCGAAGAAUGUUAUCACGGGAGACACACGGCGGGUGCUAACGUCCGUCGUGAAGAGGGAAACAACCCAGACCGACAGCUAAGGUCCCAAAGUCAUGGUUAAGUGGGAAACGAUGUGGGAAGGCACAGACAGCCAGGAUGUUGGCUUAGAAGCAGCCAUCAUUUAAAGAAAGCGUAAUAGCUCACUGGUCGAGUCGGCCUGCGCGGAAGAUGUAACGGGGCUAAACCAUGCACCGAAGCUGCGGCAGCGACACUAUGUGUUGUUGGGUAGGGGAGCGUUCUGUAAGCCUGCGAAGGUGUGCUGUGAGGCAUGCUGGAGGUAUCAGAAGUGCGAAUGCUGACAUAAGUAACGAUAAAGCGGGUGAAAAGCCCGCUCGCCGGAAGACCAAGGGUUCCUGUCCAACGUUAAUCGGGGCAGGGUGAGUCGACCCCUAAGGCGAGGCCGAAAGGCGUAGUCGAUGGGAAACAGGUUAAUAUUCCUGUACUUGGUGUUACUGCGAAGGGGGGACGGAGAAGGCUAUGUUAGCCGGGCGACGGUUGUCCCGGUUUAAGCAUGUAGGCUGGUUAUCCAGGCAAAUCCGGAUAAUCAAGGCUGAGGUGUGAUGACGAGGCACUACGGUGCUGAAGUAACAAAUGCCCUGCUUCCAGGAAAAGCCUCUAAGCAUCAGGUAACAUCAAAUCGUACCCCAAACCGACACAGGUGGUCAGGUAGAGAAUACCAAGGCGCUUGAGAGAACUCGGGUGAAGGAACUAGGCAAAAUGGUGCCGUAACUUCGGGAGAAGGCACGCUGGUGUGUAGGUGAAGUCCCUGCGGAUGGAGCUGAGACCAGUCGAAGAUACCAGCUGGCUGCAACUGUUUAUUAAAAACACAGCACUGUGCAAACACGAAAGUGGACGUAUACGGUGUGACGCCUGCCCGGUGCCGGAAGGUUAAUUGAUGGGGUUAUCCGUAAGGAGAAGCUCUUGAUCGAAGCCCCGGUAAACGGCGGCCGUAACUAUAACGGUCCUAAGGUAGCGAAAUUCCUUGUCGGGUAAGUUCCGACCUGCACGAAUGGCGUAAUGAUGGCCAGGCUGUCUCCACCCGAGACUCAGUGAAAUUGAACUCGCUGUGAAGAUGCAGUGUACCCGCGGCAAGACGGAAAGACCCCGUGAACCUUUACUAUAGCUUGACACUGAACAUUGAGCCUUGAUGUGUAGGAUAGGUGGGAGGCUUUGAAGCGUGGACGCCAGUCUGCGUGGAGCCAACCUUGAAAUACCACCCUUUAAUGUUUGAUGUUCUAACGUUGGCCCCUGACCGGGGUUGCGGACAGUGUCUGGUGGGUAGUUUGACUGGGGCGGUCUCCUCCCAAAGCGUAACGGAGGAGCACGAAGGUUAGCUAAUCCUGGUCGGACAUCAGGAGGUUAGUGCAAUGGCAUAAGCUAGCUUGACUGCGAGCGUGACGGCGCGAGCAGGUGCGAAAGCAGGUCAUAGUGAUCCGGUGGUUCUGAAUGGAAGGGCCAUCGCUCAACGGAUAAAAGGUACUCCGGGGAUAACAGGCUGAUACCGCCCAAGAGUUCAUAUCGACGGCGGUGUUUGGCACCUCGAUGUCGGCUCAUCACAUCCUGGGGCUGAAGUAGGUCCCAAGGGUAUGGCUGUUCGCCAUUUAAAGUGGUACGCGAGCUGGGUUUAGAACGUCGUGAGACAGUUCGGUCCCUAUCUGCCGUGGGCGCUGGAGAAUUGAGGGGGGCUGCUCCUAGUACGAGAGGACCGGAGUGGACGCAUCACUGGUGUUCGGGUUGUCAUGCCAAUGGCACUGCCCGGUAGCUAAAUGCGGAAGAGAUAAGUGCUGAAAGCAUCUAAGCACGAAACUUGCCCCGAGAUGAGUUCUCCCUGAGACUAUAAGUCUCCUGAAGGAACGUUAAAGACGAUGACGUUGAUAGGCCGGGUGUGUAAGCGCAGCGAUGCGUUGAGCUAACCGGUACUAAUGAACCGUGAGGCUUAACCUUACAACGCCGAAG